CAUCCCCUGCUGUAUGCGACAGUGGCCGAGAUCUCCUUGAGCCUAAUCACCAACCCAGGGGACUUUAUGUGAUGCUGGUGUGCAUGCCCGCCACGUGCGGGAAGCCUGAAGCAUCACUGCUGUCCCCCUCUUGAACCUUUGGUUCAGGGGCAACAGUCACACCGCUACAAGUGGAGGAUGC
rnacentral:other from 1 species